UGUUGUAUAGUGUAGUGGUUAUCACCCGGGUUUCUGAUACCCGUAACCCCGGUUCGAAUCCGGGUACGACCU
rfam:Rhizoclosmatium globosum strain JEL800 BCR33scaffold_33, whole genome shotgun sequence.